rnacentral:rRNA from 1 species
GACGAACGCUGGCGGCGUGCUUAACACAUGCAAGUCGAACGGAAAGGCCCUGCUUUUGUGGGGUGCUCGAGUGGCGAACGGGUGAGUAACACGUGAGUAACCUGCCCUUGACUUUGGGAUAACUUCAGGAAACUGGGGCUAAUACCGGAUAGGAGCUCCUGCUGCAUGGUGGGGGUUGGAAAGUUUCGGCGGUUGGGGAUGGACUCGCGGCUUAUCAGCUUGUUGGUGGGGUAGUGGCUUACCAAGGGUUUGACGGGUAGCCGGCCUGAGAGGGUGACCGGCCACCUUGGGACUGAGAUACGGCCCAGACUCCAACGGGAGGCAGCAGUGGGGAAUAUUGCACAGUGGGCGGAAGCCUGAUGCAGCAACGCCGCGUGCGGGAUGACGGCCUUCGGGUUGUAAACCGCUUUCGCCUGUGACGAAGCGUGAGUGACGGUAAUGGGUAAAGAAGCACCGGCUAACUACGUG